rnacentral:rRNA from 1 species
UAGGGAAUAUUGCUUAAUGGCGAAAGCCUGAACUAGCAACGCCGCGUGUGCGAAGAAGGCCUUCGGGAUGUAAAGCACUUUUUGAGAGGAUGAGGAAGGACGGUACUCUCAGAAUAAGUCUCGGCUAACUACGUGCCAGCAGCCGCGGUAACACGUAGGAGGCAAACGUUAUCCGGAUUUACUGGGCGUAAAGCGCGUGUAGGUGGUUUGGUAAGUAGGGCGUGAAAGCUCCUGGCUCAACUGGGAGAGGCCGUUCUAAACUGCCGAACUAGAGGAUGGUAGAGGGAGGUGGAAUUCCGGGUGUAGCGGUGGAAUGCGCAGAUAUCCGGAGGAACACCAGUGGCGAAAGCGGCCUCCUGGACCAUUCCUGACACUCAGACGCGAAAGCUAGGGUAGCAAACGG